rnacentral:rRNA from 1 species
AACGAACGCUGGCGGCAUGCCUAACACAUGCAAGUCGAACGAUACCUUCGGGUCUAGUGGCGCACGGGUGCGUAACGCGUGGGAACCUGCCCUUAGGUUCGGAAUAACUCAGAGAAAUUUGAGCUCAUACCGGAUAAUGUCUUCGGACCAAAGAUUUAUCGCCUUUGGAUGGGCCCGCGUAGGUUUCGCUUGUUGGUGGUGUAAUGGCCUACCAAGGCGACGAUCCUUAGCUGGUCUGAGAGGAUGAUCAGCCACACUGGGACUGAGACACGGCCCAGACUCCUACGGGAGGCAGCAGUGGGGAAUAUUGGACAAUGGGCGAAAGCCUGAUCCAGCAAUGCCGCGUGAGUGAUGAAGGCCUUAGGGUUGUAAAGCUCUUUUACCAGGGAUGAUAAUGACGGUACCUGGAGAAGAAGCACCGGCUAACUCCGUG